rnacentral:rRNA from 1 species
UAGUCCACGCUGUAAACGAUGAUAACUCGAUGCUGGCGAUACACUGUCAGUGUCCAAGCGAAAGCGAUAAGUUAUCCACCUGGGGAGUACGGUCGCAAGAUUGAAACUCAAAGGAAUUGACGGGGGCCCGCACAAGCGGUGGAGCAUGUGGUUUAAUUCGAUGAUACGCGAGGAACCUUACCAAGGCUUAAAUGCACCACGACAGGACCGGAAACGGUUUUUUCUCGGACGUGGUGCAAGGUGCUGCAUGGUUGUCGUCAGCUCGUGCCGUGAGGUGUCGGGUUAAGUCCCAUAACGAGCGCAACCCCUACCUAUAGUUGCCAUCAGGUCAAGCUGGGGACUCUAUAGGAACUGCCCGUGCAAACGGUGAGGAAGGUGGGGAUGACGUCAAAUCAUCACGGCCCUUACGUCUUGGGGCCAC